rnacentral:rRNA from 1 species
AGACGUCUACAUUAGAUACCCCGGUAGUCCCAGCCGUAAACUAUGCGCGUUAGGUGUAUCGGUGACCACGAGUUACCGAGGUGCCGAAGGGAAACCGUGAAACGUGCCGCCUGGGAAGUACGGUCGCAAGGCUGAAACUUAAAGGAAUUGGCGGGGGAGCACCACAACAGGUGGAGCCUGCGGUUUAAUUGGACUCAACGCCGGACAACUCACCGGGAACGACAGCAAUAUGUAGGCCAGGCUGAAGACCUUGCCUGAAUCGCUG